rnacentral:rRNA from 1 species
UUAAAUGAAGUUGACGGGGGAGCACCGACAACGGGUGGAGCUUGCGGUUUAAUUGGAUUCAACGCCGGAAAUCUUACCGGGACCGACAGCAAUAGUGAAGGCCAGGCUGAAGACUUUGCCGGAUUAGCUGGAGAGGUGGUGCAUGGCCGUCGUCAGUUCGUACUGUGAAGCAUCCUGUUAAGUCAGGCAACGAGCGAGACCCACGCCCACAGUUGCCAGCGUACUCUCUGGAGUGACGGGUACACUGUGGGGACCGCCGCUGCUAAAGCGGAGGAAGGAAUGGGCAACCGGUAGGUCAGUAUGCCCCGAAUAUCCCGGGCUACACGCGAGCUACAAUGGUUGGUACAAUGGGUAUCUACCCCGAAAGGGGACGGGAAAUCUCCUAAAACCAAUCUUAGUUCGGAUUGAGGGCUGCAACUCGCCCUCAUGAAGCUGGAAUCCGUAGUAAUCGCGUUUCAACAGAACGCGGUGAAUACGUCCCUGCUCCUU